AGAGAGAGACAUGCGCGCAUAUCAAUAAGCGGAGGAAAAGAAACUAACAAGGAUUCCCCUAGUAACGGCGAGUGAAGCGGGAAGAGCUCAAAUUUGAAAUCUUAAAGGGUUUCCCUUUACGAAUUGUAGUUUAAAGAAGUGUUUUCUGUUGAGGUUUUGGUAAAAGUUCUUUGGAAUAGGACAUCAUAGAGGGUGAGAAUCCCGUAUUUGACCUUUACUUUCAACUUUGUGAUACACUUUCAAAGAGUCGGAUUGUUUGGGAAUGCAGUCCAAAAUGGGUGGUAAAUUUCAUCUAAAGCUAAAUAUUGGCGAGAGACCGAUAGCGAACAAGUACCGUGAGGGAAAGAUGAAAAGAACUUUGAAAAGAGAGUUAAACAGUACGUGAAAUUGUCAAAAGGGAAGCGUUUGACACCAGUGUUGUUUUUCUGAAAAUCAAUUAAAGAACUGUUUAUGCUAAGCUGUUUAGACUUUAUCAGCUAACUGUUUAGUUUUGAGCUUUUCUUUAAUGCACUUUUCAGUUAACAAGCCAACAUCAAUUUCUUUUGCUGUAAAAAAGCUUGAGGAAGGUGGCUUGAGAUUCGUCUUAAGUGUUUAUAGCCUCUUGCCUAUGCAGUCGGAGAGAUUGAGGUCUGCAGCGUAGAUCCUUCGGGGCUAAAUGCAUUUGUGCUAAGUUAUAGCAUUUUAUAGACAACUUGUUGACUAUGAUUUGUCUUGUAGCUUACUCGCUUAUGUUAUUUUACCUACGCUUAGGAUGUUGAAGACUCUACAGAGAUA
rnacentral:rRNA from 1 species